rnacentral:lncRNA from 1 species
GCCGCGGCGCCUCGCCCACCACUCUCUCUCCCUCUCCCCCCUAUUCCCCCACGACGUCGUGACUACCUCCACUACGAUCCUUCCCCUGCUUAUGGAGAUGACAGUUCCAAGCAUACUCCAACAUCUCUCUCCCUACACGCACAACUAGCCAUGGCCGCGCGGCCACUGCAACCCGUGCGAGCACACCCUGCGAUGCACGAGUGUUGCUCUGCACAACCGCUCGACGGUCGUCCCCCAGAGCUUCCCCAUGAUGCGCGUCGUGAAGCCCCUCGACGAAGACCCUAGGAACACCUGCAGGGGUCGGCCAUCGUGCACAGGUGAGAACCCACUCCUCUCUCUCCCUCGUCCCGCCGGCGUCGUCCCUCCGCUCGCGUGCCCUUUCUCGGCGCGAGCGCGUCCCUGCGCAGCGGAGCUGGGUGGCCGUGCUCCAGCCCCUCCUCCCCUCACCUAGCCCUGAGCGCGGUAGCCUCUUGCAGGCCCCCUCGCGCGGCGCCACCGCCGCGCAGUGCCCAUGCCCCUCGCGGCCAGUCCACAGCGGUGCCCCGGCCAACCCCCUGGCCAGCAGCGGCGUAGCGCCCAUCCCAACAGCGAGCAACCGCCAGCCAUGCACGCCGACUUCUUGCUGCCAUUACCCCGCCCCGCGUGACGUCCAACUCCAGCCGGUGUUGCGUCGCCUUGCCGCAUGAUGCGCGUGCCGUCGUGCUCGUGAAGAAAAGCAAACCGUCCGUGUGACCGUGUGCGAGUAUGUAGGCUAGGAGAAAAGAACGGACGUUGGGCCUCACAAACAUGCAUGUGCAGGCAGCGUUCCUCCAUGAUUUUCCUGCAUGCGUACAGAUUCUAGAGCCAAAACGAAAUUGCCGAUCCCUUGGAUAUCGUAUUUCCCUCCCCAGCCAGGCUGCAUGCCAGAGAAAUAAUCCUUAAGGAUUCUCUGUGCCCCAAAUUUGUGGCCCUAGGUGUGGCUUGUUUCGACCAAUAAAAAUGUGCCACGUCGUUAUUAAUCUGCGAUUAGUUAAAAAUAUAUUAACUUUUGCGUUAGACAUCUGAAUUAAUAUGUUUCUAUUGAGUUAGCUUCGUAAUAAUAUCAUGCACACAUUAAACAUAUUAUCUUGUCAUAACGUAUGUUUGUUUUACUUAAUUGUAAGUUGGUCUGUUGGUUAUUAACAUAGCAAUUUAGUUAAAACUAUUUUAUGGUUUUAAGUUACGCUUUUAUAAAUAUAUGUUAAAAUGAUUAAUACCAACUCAAAUAAGUACUAAUUUAAUUAUUACCAACUUAAACGUUUGGAUUCGAUACUGGUUUAGUAUAAAUAUGUCAUCUAUUUAGUUUUUCUCGCCUGUCGCGCGUGCGGUUCCGCACUCGGUGGCGUGCUGUUUCGCGCAUCGUUCUCUCUAGUCGCGCGUACUGUCUCGUGCGUUGUUUUGCGCAGUGUCGCGCGUCCUCACACGUCAUUCUCGUGUGCCGCACAUGCCAUUUUUCGCGUGCGUCGCGCAUGCCCUUUUCGCGUCGCGCACCUUGUCGUGCGUCGCCACGCGUCAUUUGCGCAUGACGCACGCGUCGUUUUUGCGUGUAGUGCACAUUGCCGCACGUUGUUCACGCAUGUCACGCGUGUCCGUGCGUCGUUCGCACGCUGUCGUGCUGUUUCGCGCGUCGUAAAUUUGCCUCACUUAGAUUCUCUCGUUUUAAUUAAAUUAUUUACUUAACUGACAUUGGUUAGUGUAGCAGAUUAAUCAAGCUAAAUGAUAGAUAUUAUUUAUAUUUGAUAACGUCGAAUUAAAUACUAUAGUUAAUACUUGUUUAGCGUAAACGCGCUAACCCCUCGACCGUAGCUCUUACUUUCGUGUUUCUUAUCCUCGCAUAACUGUAGGAGCGCUCUCUAUUUUAUAUUGCUCGCUUUUAUAACAUUUUAUCUUGUAUGGUGUAAUGUUCUUAUGCAUAUGUAUAUAUUUGUUUGCUUGUGCCUGUUCAUCUUCGCUUCGCGUUGCGAUUAGAUCGUGAUUCGUUUCUGAGCUUCGAGGAAUCGACGGUCAAGCUUCAACGACCAAAUGACCUAGUUCUUCGAGUUCCUCGAGAUUGAAGACCCUGAACAUAUGUUUGGUGAAGGCAAGUGUCCCUUGACCUAUCUCUGUCCUAUACAUUCUUUAAUUCACCUCCCGCAUUACACAGUUAUACCUAAGGAUUUACUAGCUUUUGUUAUCCAUGUCCUUGUUUACCUAUCUGGGUUGGAUUAUUAUUGUUUAGCUUUAUGCUAUUGCUCAGCUCUAAUCAAUGAACAUGAUGAGAUUUAUCAAUGAUACGUUGUUUCCCCCCCUUUAUUAUGAUGUUAUACUUGUGACCUUCAAGGGGGCUCGAGCGGUUUCUCGAGUGCCUCUCCGUAAGGACCUGUUCGUUGGAUGACCGCCCAGAAAAACAGUGCAACCAUGAGGGUGGAAUGGGAUGCCCUUAGCUAAAUAAUUAGAGGAACCGGGGUGUAGCUCGCUUAGCCAUCGUGCCGUCAAUGGGGCUCAGUGUAUGCGGCUCGCUCUGCCAAGUUUGGGUUCGCCCCUUGGGGAGGAGUGCGGUGCAUUUAGGAAACCUAACGGGUGGCUACAGCUCCGGGGAAUCUUUGUAAAGGCUACGUAGUGAUGCCCUGCUGGGUCACCUUGGUAGUGAUCAAUGGAGAGUCAUGAUCUCUGGGCAGAAAGGGAAUCACGACUUGUGGGUAAAGUGCACAACCUCUGCAGAGCGUUUGAAAACUGAUAUAUCAGCCGUGCUCACGGUUAUGAGCGGCCAAGGGAGCUCCAGUGAUUAGUGGUACUUGAUCAGAGAUGUUCGGAUUGCAGGUGGCAAUGAGAUUGAUGGUUCUUGGUAUUGACACUGGUAAUGGUAAGUGGUACUCUUUCCAUUUGGAAAGGAGUACGUUUGGGUUAAUAACGUGGGUUAAAUCUAAAACUUGGCUUUCUCUACUAGUAAUAAUAAUCUGACCAACUAAAAGCAACUGCUUGACUUACCCCCACAUAAAAGCUAGUCCACUACAGCCAAACAGGAUACUUGCUGAGUAUGUUGAUGUGUACUCACCCUUGCUCUACACACCAAACCCCCCCCAUCCCCAGGUUGUCAGCAUUGCAACCACUGCUCAGGAGAAGAUGAAGUCGUGGAAGGAGACUUUCAGGAGUUCCAAGACUACGACGAGUUCUAGGCGUGGGUUAGCGGCAACCCCCAGUCGGCUGCCUGUGAAGGCCGCGUUUAUCUACGUUUCGUUUUCGCACUUUGAUUAUUUGUAAAGACUAUGUGGAUGUCUCAGACUUAUGAUGUAAUCGACUAUUAUUCCCUUUUUAGUACUAUUUGAGCACUGUGUGAUGAUGUCCAUGUUAUGUAACUGCUGUGUACGUGAAUUGCUGAUCCUGGCACGUACAUGGUUCGCAUUCGGUUUGCCUUCUAAAACCGGGUGUGACAUAAGUGGUAUCAAAGCCGUGCUGACUGUAGGACCGCUGACCUAGAGUAGCAUUGGCCGUUUUAAGGACUUCUUGACUGUUACUUCACCUCAUCCUUGAUUCUGCUUCAAAUUUUAGUCAUCUCGACUAAUUCUAUGUUGUGCUCCUAUAUGCCCCCUUGUCAAAAAGUAUUUUAUUCUAGCAUGGUCUAUACUUCUCUCAGUCUAUUAGAACUUACCUCACUCUUGUGCUUGCGACAUCUUUGUAGAUGCCCCCUGACCAUAGCCUUUAGUCUUUUGGGACUCUUUCCUCGUCCAUUUUUAAAUUGCUACCAUUUGACCAUCUCUAUUCCAUUUUGUUAUUGACAUGCUCGUACCCUUGCAUUUUUUUAAUACCCUUAUCCCUUAAUCUAAAAUACUUACCCUUGUACCUCUAUUGCCUAUUUAAAUAGUUCAGUUUAUGUGUCCAUGACCUUCUUGUCUUCUGAGAUCAUUUCUUAUUCUGUUGUUAAGUCGCUAUCUCUCGGUAAUUUCUGUGCCCUUGGUCUUAGUAUGCUCGUAUCCUUGGAAUCUUGCAUACUCUUAUAUUCUUAUGUAUGCUUAUUUUCAUACCCCAAUAACCGUUCAAGACAUUUCAGUUAACAUGUCCUUGACCACCCCUGUUUCUUAACAGUCCAUGAGCGAUCAUUUCAUGUCGCCCAUCCUUGGUGAUCUCGUUGUUCCUUUAUAACUUCUCUCGAUAAUGAGUUCUUACGUCAACCAUAAUAUUGCACCCUCACCUAUCUUACUGUUGAUUGUUUUCUCCACUUCGCCACUACGUGAGUCUUCCCUUAACUCUAUCAUUUGUCAUGACUUUUGUUAUUAUCACCUUCACCUUAGACAUCUCUAUAUCUUACUUGAGGUUUAUCUUAUACCGGCAUUUAAAAUCUUCUCCUUUUUCCAUCUCAAUUUGAGCAUCGUACUUUACCUACUUUUCCCUUGGUCGUAUCCUCUUCUUUGUCACCUGCGAGUUGUUAACUCUAUCCUUCGUUGUGUUUUUGAUUGUUAUUUCCUUUACCCUUCUCAUCACUCUGUCCUGCCUUGUGAUUACAUUAUGUUUGUUAUCUAAAAUCUCCAAUCUCUUAUCCUAAGUUGAGAGCAGUGUUUUACUUAUCUCACCCUUGGUAAUAUCCUCUUCUUCACCGUGUGUAAGCCUUAACAUAACUUCAUUCUUUGUUGUACUUAUACCACUAGCUCUUCAAUGCCUUCGUUUUUUUCAUGCCCUUGUAUGUUGUCGCCUCUGACCCUUGUGAUAUUUAUGUCUUCUACCUAAAUUCUUACCUUAAACUUAUCCUUUAAAAGCCUUCCCUUUCUUUCAACUCGGUUUGAGAGUUGCGGGUUACCUAUCUCUCUCUUGAUUUCUUUUCACUUCUUGUCGCCUUACAAGUUUUGUCUUAAUUCCAUCCGUUGAUGUGUUUUAUUUGCUAUCACCAUCACCUUGUCAUCCAUCCAUCUUGCGUUGACACUCAUCUUUAUUCUGGAUCCUUAAAAAUCUCCUCUCUUCCACCUCCAUUAGAUAGUGGCUGCUUAUCUAUCUGGCCCUUGGACGUACCCUCUCCUUUUCCAUUUGCAGGUCCUAUCUUAACUCCAUCAUUUAUGGUACUAAUAUCUUUUGUCUUAUGCUUAUUUACCUCCUCUCCUACAUCUUUGUCCGUUAUUACCUUCAAAACCCUUGUGAUAUCUAUGUCCUUACCCUCCUACCUAUCUCGAACAUAUCCUUUGAAGCCUCCUCUUUUCCAUCCGUGUUUGAGGAUAAUGCCUCACCUAUUCAUCAUUGACUGCUCCCCCUUCUCGACACCUUGCAAGUUUUGUCUAAAAUAAAUUUUUGGUUGGGUGUUUGUCCGUUAUCACCUUAACCCUCGUCAUCCCUUGAUCUUUACCUUGAUGCUUAUCCCGUCCCUGCAUUUUAAAGUCCCUCCCUCGUUCCAGUUCAAGAGUGUUGUCUUACCUACCUGCUCUUGGUCAUUCCCUUUUCCUCUACAGCGUUGCCAGUCAUAGCGUUUGUUUGAUAUACCCCUUACCCUUGUAAUCACUAGAUUUUGACUUGAUACCUAUCUAAGGUCUGCUUUUGGAAAUCUCCCCUUUUCUAUCUCAACCCGGGAGUGUUGUUCUACCCAUUAUGCCCUUGGUCGUAUCCUUUCGUUGAUCGCUUACAAUGCUUGCUUUAACUCCAUUCUUUAUGGUGCUCGUGUCCCUAUCCUACACGUCUUGUUCUUCUCCUUGUCCUUCAACAACCUUAGAGAGUAGUUAUUCCCUUUUCAUGAAAGACCACCAUUUAAUUAGAAGGAACAUGUAGCAACAAAAUGUUUGUUGUUGUAUGCUUGUGCUAUUUGUCUUUGUGUGAUGACUGAUUUGCUUCUUUGGAAUGAGUGUUGAUGUGUUGUGGCCCUUAAUCCGCAAUGACAUCAGUUUACUAGGUGAAUGCCAUAGAGUUAAGUAGUUGGGUUCUCCCCCUGCUCUCUCUAAUCCGUCUAUACUUACCUUUUCUCGCUACCCUUUCCUCUUGCACCUGUCCAUUUGGCAACCUCCAACUCCUCCAAAUCAGUCAAGAUCAGAGUCGGCAGCAUCUUCACCAAGUGCAUAUCGACGCUCCUGUUAAGGGGGUUAGCCGCUAACUCAAUGAAGACAAUGUGAUCAACAUCAACAAACAAGAUCAAAGUGAAGCAGCGGAAGCGUGUGUGGGUCCUAACCCACAAGUCCAAGGGAUCCUCAAGAAUUAUAUCGUCAAUCAACCUCGAGCAUCUGAAGGUCAAAGCAACCAGUCCGCAAGUUAAAGUUUCAAGAGUCAAAGUUGAGUCAGGAGAAGCUAUGAAAGACCAAUGAACCAAUCUCAUUUUCUUGCUAGCUUCUUCUUGAAUCUCGAGGGCGAGAUUCCUGUUAAGGGGGUUAGAUCUGUAACACCUGGAAUUUGGGGGUAUAAAAUUUCUUUCCUAAUACCCACCAAAUUCAGGUGUUACCCUAGCGAAACAAAACCUAGAAAGGGGGUCCUUGAUUGUUGCAUAGCAUGUCGAGGCAUGUUUUUUUCCUUUGUGAUGGUGCAUUUAUUCAAACUUAGAAAGUAUGUUUGAAUUUGAAUUCAAAACUAAAACAUGUUUUCAAAAAGAACAAAAGGAAGAAAAAAUAAAUAAAUAAAAGGAAAAACUCCCUCAUCCCCUCCUCUCUCUCGGCGGCCCAACCCCCCAGCCCAACCCAGCUCGGCUUUUUCCGGCCGGCCCACGCCGCGAGCACCCCAGCCAGCCUCACGCGCCCCGCGCCCCAAAACCCUAGCGCCGCCUCCUGCGCGCGCUCGCCCAGCUGCCCAGCACCGUGCCCAGCCGCCGCGGCGCCUCGCCCACCACUCUCUCUCUCCCUCUCCCCCCUAUUCCCCCACGACGUCGUGACUACCUCCACUACGAUCCUUCCCCUGCUUAUGGAGAUGACAGUUCCAAGCAUACUCCAACAUCUCUCUCCCUACACGCACAACUAGCCAUGGCCGCGCGGCCACUGCAACCCGUGCGAGCACACCCUGCGAUGCACGAGUGUUGCUCUGCACAACCGCUCGACGGUCGUCCCCCAGAGCUUCCCCAUGAUGCGCGUCGUGAAGCCCCUCGACGAAGACCCUAGGAACACCUGCAGGGGUCGGCCAUCGUGCACAGGUGAGAACCCACUCCUCUCUCUCCCUCGUCCCGCCGGCGUCGUCCCUCCGCUCGCGUGCCCUUUCUCGGCGCGAGCGCGUCCCUGCGCAGCGGAGCUGGGUGGCCGUGCUCCAGCCCCUCCUCCCCUCACCUAGCCCUGAGCGCGGUAGCCUCUUGCAGGCCCCCUCGCGCGGCGCCACCGCCGCGCAGCGCCCAUGCCCCUCGCGGCCAGUCCACAACGGUGCCCCGGCCAACCCCCUGGCCAGCAGCGGCGUAGCGCCCAUCCCAACAGCGAGCAACCGCCAGCCAUGCACGCCGACUCCUUGCUGCCAUUACCCCGCCCCGCGUGACGUCCAACUCCAGCUGGUGUUGCGUCGCCUUGCCGCAUGAUGCGCGUGCCGUCGUGCUCGUGAAGAAAAGCAAACCGUCCGUGUGGCCGUGUGCGAGUAUGUAGGCUAGGAGAAAAGAACGGACGUUGGGCCUCACAAACAUGCAUGUGCAGGCAGCGUUCCUCCAUGAUUUUCCUGCAUGCGUACAGAUUCUAGAGCCAAAACGAAAUUGCCGAUCCCUUGGAUAUCGUAUUUCCCUCCCCAGCCAGGCUGCAUGCCAGAGAAAUAAUCCUUAAGGAUUCUCUGUGCCCCAAAUUUGUGGCCCUAGGUGUGGCUUGUUUCGACCAAUAAAAAUGUGCCACGUCGUUAUUAAUCUGCGAUUAGUUAAAAUAUAUUAACUUUUGCGUUAGACAUCUGAAUUAAUAUGUUUCUAUUGAGUUAGCUUCGUAAUAAUAUCAUGCACACAUUAAACAUAUUAUCUUGUCAUAACGUAUGUUUGUUUUACUUAAUUGUAAGUUGGUCUGUUGGUUAUUAACAUAGCAAUUUAGUUAAAACUAUUUUAUGGUUUUAAGUUACACUUUUAUAAAUAUACGUUAAAAUGAUUAAUACCAACUCAAAUAAGUACUAAUUUAAUUAUUACCAACUUAAACGUUUGGAUUCGAUACUGGUUUAGUAUAAAUAUGUCAUCUAUUUAGUUUUUCUCGCCUGUCGCGCGUGCGGUUCUGCACUCGGUGGCGUGCUGUUUCAAGCGUCGUUCUCUCUAGUCGCGCGUACUGUCUCGUGCGUUGUUUUGCGCAGUGUCGCGCGUCCUCACACGUCAUUCUCAUGUGCCGCACAUGCCAUUUUUCGCGUGCGUCGCGCAUGCCCUUUUCGCGUCGCGCACCUUGUCGUGCGUCACCACGCGUCAUUCGCGCAUGACGCACGCGUCGUUUUUGCGUGUAGUGCACAUUGCCGCACGUUGUUCACGCAUGUCACGCGUGUCCGUGCGUCGUUCGCACGCUGUCGUGCUGUUUCGCGCGUCGUAAAUUUGCCUCACUUAGAUUCUCUCGUUUUAAUUAAAUUAUUUACUUAACUGACAUUGGUUAGUGUAGCAGAUUAAUCGAGCUAAAUGAUAGAUAUUAUUUAUAUUUGAUAACGUCGAAUUAAAUACUAUAGUUAAUACUUGUUUAGCGUAAACGCGCUAACCCCUCGACCGUAGCUCUUACUUUCGUGUUUCUUAUCCUCGCAUAACUGUAGGAGCGCUCUCUAUUUUAUAUUGCUCGCUUUUAUAACAUUUUAUCUUGUAUGGUGUAAUGUUCUUAUGUAUAUGUAUAUAUUUGUUUGCUUGUGCCUGUUCGUCUUCGCUUCGCGUUGCGAUUAGAUCGUGAUUCGUUUCUGAGCUUCGAGGAAUCGACGGUCAAGCUUCAACGACCAAAUGACCCAGUUCUUCGAGUUCCACGAGAUUGAAGACCCUGAGCAUAUGUUUGGUGAAGGCAAGUGUCCCUUGACCUAUCUCUGUCCUAUACAUUCUUUAAUUCACCUCCCGCAUUACACAGUUAUACCUAAGGAUUUACUAGCUUUUGUUAUCCAUGUCCUUGUUUACCUAUCUGGGUUGGAUUAUUAUUGUUUAGCUUUAUGCUAUUGCUCAGCUCUAAUCAAUGAACAUGAUGAGAUUUAUCAAUGAUACGUUGUUUCCCCCCCCCUUUAUUAUGAUGUUAUACUUGUGACCUUCAAGGGGGCUCGAGCGGUUUCUCGAGUGCUUCUCCGUAAGGACCUGUUCGUUGGAUGACCGCCCGGGAAAACAGUGCAACCAUGAGGGUGGAAUGGGAUGCCCUUAGCUAAAUAAUUAGAGGAACCGGGGUGUAGCUCGCUUAGCCAUCGUGCCGUCAAUGGGGCUCGGUGUAUGCGGCUCGCUCUGCCAAGUUUGGGUUCGCCCCUUUGGGAGGAGUGUGGUGCAUUUAGGAAACCUAACGGGUGGCUACAGCUCCGGGGAAUCUUUGUAAAGGCUACGUAGUGAUGCCCUGCUGGGUCACCUUGGUAGUGAUCAAUGGAGAGUCAUGAUCUCUGGGCAGAAAGGGAAUCACGACUUGUGGGUAAAGUGCACAACCUCUGUAGAGUGUCUGAAAACUGAUAUAUCAGCCGUGCUCACGGUAUGAGCGGCCAAGGGAGCUCCAGUGAUUAGUGGUACUUGAUCAGAGAUGUUCGGAUUGCAGGUGGCAAUGAGAUUGAUGGUUCUUGGUAUUAACACUGGUAAUGGUAAGUGGUACUCUUUCCAUUUGGAAAGGAGUACGUUUGGGUUAAUAACGUGGGUUAAAUCUAAAACUUGGCUUUCUCUACUAGUAAUAAUAAUCUGACCAACUAAAAGCAACUGCUUGACUUACCCCCACAUAAAAGCUAGCCCACUACAGCCAAACAGGAUACUUGCUGAGUAUGUUGAUGUGUACUCACCCUUGCUCUACACACCAAACCCCCCCAUCCCCAGGUUGUCAGCAUUGCAACCACUGCUCAGGAGAAGAUGAAGUCGUGGAAGGAGACUUUCAGGAGUUCCAAGACUACGACGAGUUCUAGGCGUGGGUUAGCGGCAACCCCCAGUCGGCUGCCUGUGAAGGCCGCGUUUAUCUACGUUUCGUUUUUGCACUUUGAUUAUUUGUAAAGACUAUGUGGAUGUCUCAGACUUAUGAUGUAAUCGACUAUUAUUCCCUUUUUAGUACUAUUUGAGCACUGUGUGAUGAUGUCCAUGUUAUGUAACUGCUGUGUACGUGAAUUGCUGAUCCUGGCACGUACAUGGUUCGCAUUCGGUUUGCCUUCUAAAACCGGGUGUGACAUCACUACAACAAAUUUGUAGAGCUAUUAAAGUAGUCCAAUUUUGAUUAAGGGAGUGAGCCCUAGAGUUGUACAAAACUGGAGUAAAAUGGCCUGCAAGUUGAGCUAUCAGUCGUGUGUUGGCCUGAAGGUUAGAUUGACAGUGGCAUCAGAUCAACUUUAGAGUUGAUAUGUGCUUGAUCAAGUGGAGGUAUGAACAAGAACCCUAUAAAAAAUUGAAGCUGGUAUGAUGGACAACAACUUUGCUAUAGAUGGCUUGGUAGAUUGUUGAAUAAAAAUCGAAGAGAAAUGACUCUCAAAUCGCUCUGUCAUGCGAGCUGAAUGAACAUCGCCAUGGUACAGUGCACUGAAGAAGAUCCUUGGUGCAGUGUACCUCACCGCCGGUGAUCGGGCACCACGAUUCGAGCUCUCCAUGAAGAUUCGUGCAUGGAUCAACGCGGAUAUUACCGGGGAAGUGAAAAGAUUGUGACUGUGGAUAAACUUGUGAGCUGCACCGUAACCACUUGCUUCGCGACCGGACGGGAUGUCAUCGUCGGCGUCCGCCGCUCGCCGCGAGGAUGCCACAUGCUUGGAGACAUUACCACGUUGCAAUAGGUCGCUGUGGACAGCCCAUUUACCGCCUGGGGCCUUACCUCACCGAGCGCCACAACAGUUGCCCUCCGAUGAGUCACCCCCUUCCGGUCGUGAGAUCAUCUCAUCCCAAAUUCGUGACAGACUCACGUAGCUACUAUAAAUUAAAGGCACUCCCUGCUCCACCUUCUGGUUAUGCACCUAGCGCACCCUUCUUUCACCUCCAAUUACCCACCAGAGCUCACAAAUUCCAAUUUCCCCCCAUCUUGGUCAUUUACGCCGCCGUGAAGCACCCAGCCGCGACCAACUGUUCCUAGGUUCGUUCAUUCCCUCUGUGCCAUGUUUUAGCAUCCUUGAAUGUUAACAUAGCUCGUCGGCCCAACCGAUUGAAUAUUACCACGAUAGAGCAUCGAGAACAUGACCUCGCCGCCGCAGAACACGUAUGAGAGCGUGCUCCCGUCGACCCACUUUCCCACACCCGCUCCGUUCAAAUUCACGCGUGUACCCGACCUCUGGUGAAUUAGUGAAACUCGCCCUAGCUCCAAUUUAAACUCUACCAUGUUUGGUUGUUCGGAACACGCUCACCGGAGCUCUAGCGUCGCCGAAGCCAUGAACAAACAUUAAUUAGGGUUGGACCAGUCCAAUUAAGUGAGGGAAAAUGCUCAGGUAGGCUCACGCUUGGUGUUCGAGUGCUUGUUGCCUCAUGGAAGGGUCGUCGUCGCCAGGAAACCACGAGUCCGGUCAUGUGUUCGAUGCGACUCCAUCGAGGACCUAGAGCCGUGAAGAAACAAAAGUCCAGGGAUCUUUGCGCAUAUGUCAGUGAGACACGUAAAUAGUACCUGGGGUUCUUUACUAGUUAUUCGAAUACCUAGGGUCCUUCACGCAAAUCUGUAAAGGGGACGAGCUCUGCGGGGGUCGUUUCCUCUACGUUCGUGGGUCGAGCCCAUUGGUUUCAGUCCACUACUAUUGAAUCUUUUUCUUUUUCUUUUUCUUGACAACUAAUAAAUUACACUAGAAAUUGUAGACAAAUGAUAAAAUUAGUUGUAAGAUUGUGUAGCCUCUGAUAAAAUUAGUUGUAAGAUUUUUGCAGCAUCAAGUAAAUUUUUAGUUAUUUAAAAGUACACUUGGGCGACUUAAAGGAAUUUUAGAAAUAAAACCAUAGGUCCAAAAAUCGUAAAUAUUUGUGGAAAAAAUAUAUACCCUUGGAAUAGCUUCUGGUAAAAAUUUGAGCCUGUUUGAAGUUGAUUUACCCAGAGAACCAGAAACUAACUAAAUAUAAGUAUUUAAAACCCUAAACUUGGAUACUAGUUUAGGGUUAGAGCAAACUUGAGUUAUACAUAGUGUUAAACAACAAAAUUGACCAACUAGAACAUAUAUAGUUCUCUGAUUUUCUAAAGAAAGAUUAAUUCGAUCCCUUUAGACAAAGGCUAUAUUACCCAGAAACAUGAGUGUAAUUGCAUAUCCUUAGUUAAGAAUAUGUGAGCCUUCCACCUCUCUCUAAAUGAAAGUUUGCAUAGCAUAUCAUUACAUGAGUAUUCAUAUACUUCUAAUUGACUUAUAGAGCACUUAGAAGAAGAAGUUGAAGUGGAAGUGGAAGAGGAGUCAGCUCCUCAAUCUGAGGUUUCUCCAACUGAACGUGCUCCGGAAGGUCUUUCAGAAGGUGCCCUAGCAGGGUUUACUGCAAUUGCAAUAUCCUAGUAGAAGAGUCUGGCUCUCCUCCUCAUCAAGGCAAGCCCCAGUGCAUUUGCCACCUCCUUAUUGUUUUAAAUCUUUUAUCACUUAUAUGUUGCAUUAGGUAGUAGGAGUUGAAUGGUUAAACCCUUGCUGCAUAACUUCCUUGAAUUAUUGAUUAUCGUCCUUGAUACUUGAUUUGAAAAGCUAGAAAUGCUUAGUAUGCUUAUAGACAAGGAACAAAAUGUUUUGAUAUAUGAAUCAUGUUUUUACAAAGAAAAAGAGACUAGAGUGAUAAUGUAUCAAAGGCCUUGAUAACUUCAUCAUUUCAGUAGGGUACCUCUGACAUGUACCAUAUUUUCAGAAAUACUUUAAUGUGAGACCAGACAUUGAGCAGGAAAGGUCGCCCGUCUGUGUCGAUUAAGGACCGCAACAAAAGUAGGCUUGCUGAUCUAGGACCUUUAACUGGCCACAUGCCUCGUCAUGGGUAAGCUUAGCCUUGACUGGACCAAUACUAGAAAGGUCGGCCCGCAAUGGGAGUGGAGAGAUGGCGAGAGUAUCGUGUAUCCACCUGGCAAGAUGCUGGAUGGUGGGGUACUGAGCUCUCGGUUGGCGGGGACCCGUUCUGGUCUUGAGAAAACCGGGUGCAAGUUGACAUAUGCAAGGUUAAGUGCUACAUAUGUUGUGUGGUUGGAGAUCCCCAGAUGGGUAUUAAUCGAUUCGGAUUACCGUUACUUCUCGGAUAUGAAGACUGGAUCACUGCCGUGCAUAGUAGUUAACAAGUGAAACUAAAGAUGCUAAAAUAAAGCUAGUGUAGCACAAGUGAAUGCUCUAUAUUAGGAAAAAUCUAGAUUCAGGAAAAAUACUUAACUUGUGAAGUAAAAGUUUGGCAUAAGGAUCCACUACUAGUGAGCUUUUCUGCAAAAAGAGUCUUUGAAAUUUGAUAAGCUUUACCUUAAUUCCCGAACAAGCCAGCAUAUCCUUGAGAGUCUUUUGUUUAGUCGGAUAAGUCUUGCUGAGUAAUUGCGUCCUCAGGGUUUUAUUCCCAUUGUUGCUGCAAGAGAGACUAUUAACACCUUUGAGUUUUGUUAAAUUCACACUGAAGGCUUUUACUUUUGUUUAUGUUUAUUAUGUGUGUACUAUGGGAAGAUGGCUUCUUCCAAGGUGUUGUAAUAAGUUAGCACUUGAAUCUACCUCGGGCAUGUAAUAAUAUUACAUACU